GGCAAGAAAGACCUUUUCAUCUUGAUAAAGCAGGAGGGAGAGAAAGGACCAAAGAAAGCUUUUGUUCCCGUAAGAGACACCUGGAAUCAUAAACUUCCAUGCUGAUUCAUUAUUAUUGAAGAUAAGAGGAUGGAAAACUGCCAGAUAUACUGAGUAAAAAAGAAAUAAAAUCUUCUUUUCCUUCUGAAUGUAAACUUGUCAACACAACUGAUGAGUCUGCUUGCCCUUUACCACAUUAAUCGUGAAAGACCAAUAGGCUGGAAGUCAGAGGAGGCCAGAUUUCUCUUCUCUCUGGGUUUUUCCAACUCCAUCUGCUUUUCAAGCAAGUAAAAGGCAUUCAGUAACCAAUUACCACCACCAUGAAAAAAGGUGGAAAAUGUGGAAAAAAUCUGAAAGGCCAGACUAUGACUGUGCAGGAUUUGUAUUUCUUUGGAAUCUGUAGAUAUCUGGAUCACAGGAUGAAGGAAGAAGAAGGAGGAGGAGAAGAGAAGCACAGAGGAAAAUUUUGACAACAUAAGAGCAAAAAAAAAUCAAUAAAAAAUUUUUAAG